rnacentral:tRNA from 1 species
CCGCGGCCGGCGCGGUGGUCAUCGGCGCGGGCGCGCUGGCCGCCACCGGACGGCCGGACGGCGUGUCGAUCGUCGCGACCGCGGCGGA